rnacentral:tRNA from 1 species
UUAGUUGAAACCAAAUUAGAGGUAUAUUACUGUUAAUGAUAAAAUUGAGAAAAUCUCCAACUAAA